rnacentral:rRNA from 1 species
UGGGGAAUAUUGGACAAUGGGGGAAACCCUGAUCCAGCAAUGCCGCGUGAGUGAAGAAGGCCUUAGGGUUGUAAAGCUCUUUCGCCCGCGAAGAUAAUGACGGUAGCGGGAGAAGAAGCCCCGGCUAACUCCGUGCCAGCGGCCGCGGUAAUACGGAGGGGGCUAGCGUUGUUCGGAAUUACUGGGCGUAAAGCGUACGUAGGCGGAUGCGCAAGUUGGGGGUGAAAUCCCGGGGCUUAACCUCGGAAUUGCCCUCAAAACUGCACGGCUUGAGACCGAGAGAGGUAAGGGGAAUUCCUAGUGUAGAGGUGAAAUUCGUAGAUAUUAGGAAGAACACCAGUGGCGAAGGCGCCUGACUGGCUCGGUACUGACGCUGAGGUACGAAAGCGUGGGGAGCAAACA